UGAAGCUGAGGCUCAGUGGUAGAGUGCUUGCCUAGCCUGUGUGAGGCACUGGGUUCAAUCCUCAGCAUUUCAA
rnacentral:tRNA from 1 species